rnacentral:rRNA from 1 species
CUUAGUACGGCGAGUGAAGCGGUAAAAGCUCAAAUUUGAAAUCUGGUACUUUCAGUGCCCGAGUUGUAAUUUGUAGAAUUUGUCUUUGAUUAGGUCCUUGUCUAUGUUCCUUGGAACAGGACGUCAUAGAGGGUGAGAAUCCCGUUUGGCGAGGAUACCUUUUCUCUGUAAGACUUUUUCGAAGAGUCGAGUUGUUUGGGAAUGCAGCUCAAAGUGGGUGGUAAAUUCCAUCUAAAGCUAAAUAUUGGCGAGAGACCGAUAGCGAACAAGUACAGUGAUGGAAAGAUGAAAAGAACUUUGAAAAGAGAGUGAAAAAGUACGUGAAAUUGUUGAAAGGGAAGGGCAUUUGAUCAGACAUGGUGUUUUUUGCAUGCACUCGCCUCUCGUGGGCUUGGGCCUCUCAAAAAUUUCACUGGGCCAACAUCAAUUCUGGCAGCAGGAUAAAUCAUUAAGAAUGUAGCUACUUCGGUAGUGUUAUAGCUUUUUGGAAUACUGUUAGCCGGGAUUGAGGACUGCGCUUCGGCAAGGAUGUUGGCAUAAUGGUUAAAUGCCGCCCGUCUUGAAACACGGACCAA